UACGGGGGGAGCAAGCGUUGUUCGGAUUUACUGGGCGUAAAGGGCGCGUAGGCGGUCAGCACAAGUCAGUUGUGAAAUCUCCGGGCUUAACUCGGAAAGGUCAACUGAUACUGUGCGACUAGAGUGCAGAAGGGGCAACUGGAAUUCUCGGUGUAGCGGUGAAAUGCGUAGAUAUGGGAAGAACACCUGAGGCGAAGGCGGCUAUCUGGCGGUGCACUGACGCUGAGGCGCG
rnacentral:rRNA from 1 species